UCGAACGCGUCUCCGUUAAUGAUUUUAGGUGCUUGCACUUGAAAGAUUUAACAUUGAGACGAGUGGCGAACUGGUGAGUAACACGUGGGUAACCUGCCCUUGAAGUAGGGGAUAACACUUGGAAACAGGUGCUAAUACCGUAUAACAACCAAAACCACCUGGUUUUGGUUUAAAAGACGGCUUCGGCUGUCACUUUAGGAUGGACCCGCGGCGCAUUAGCUUGUUGGUAAGGUAACGGCUUACCAAGGCGAUGGUACGUAGCCGACCUGAGAGGGUAAUCGGCCACAUUGGGACUGAGACACGGCCCAAACUCCUACGGGAGGCAGCAGUAGGGAAUCUUCCACAAUGGACGAAAGUCUGAUGGAGCAACGCCGCGUGAGUGAUGAAGGGUUUCGGCUCGUAAAACUCUGUUGUUGGAGAAGAACAGGUGUCAGAGUAACUGUUGACAUCUUGACGGUAUCCAACCAGAAAGCCACGGCUAACUACGUGCCAGCAGCCGCGGUAAUACGUAGGUGGCAAGCGUUGUCCGGAUUUAUUGGGCGUAAAGCGAGCGCAGGCGGUUUUUUAGGUCUGAUGUGAAAGCCUUCGGCUUAACCGGAGAAGUGCAUCGGAAACCGGGAGACUUGAGUGCAGAAGAGGACAGUGGAACUCCAUGUGUAGCGGUGAAAUGCGUAGAUAUAUGGAAGAACACCAGUGGCGAAGGCGGCUGUCUGGUCUGUAACUGACGCUGAGGCUCGAAAGCAUGGGUAGCGAACAGGAUUAGAUACCCUGGUAGUCCAUGCCGUAAACGAUGAGUGCUAAGU
rnacentral:rRNA from 1 species